rnacentral:lncRNA from 1 species
ACAACACAGCAGUCUCCAGGUACAUAAAAGAAAACGUACUGGAGAGAAAUCCUAUGAAUUGUAAGCAGUGUGGUAAAGACUUAACACGUCACAGUCAUCUUCAAAGGCAUGAAAGAAAUCAUACUGAAAGGAAACCCCAUGAGUGUACUUAAUAUAUAGUAAAGCCUUUGCACAUUUCUAUAGUCUUCUCAUCAUUAUGAAAGAAUUGUACUGGAGAGAAACCUUAUGAAUGUAUUUAUAUGGUGAAGCCUUUGCACACUAUAGUCUUCAUCAUUAUUCAUACAGCUUAGAAGUUCUAUGAAUGUAAGCAAUGUGGUAUAAAGCCUUUGUGUUAUGGAGUCUGCUGAGAUCCAACACAACUCAAACUCAGGUCAAUGGAAGUGACAAGAAUUUAUUGUAAUCAAGCUGCUACUGAUUGAUUGGGGCCACAGAAAAUACUUGGAAGCUGAACAGCAAGAAGCAGAGAGUGGGAACUAGAAAUGGAACUAGAACUUUCUGUUACACGAGCCAAUUCAUGAUGAAGAAAAACUCUGUAGGGAGGAACAGAGUACCAAUCAACUUCCGGAGUCACCAUUAUGAAAAAGGACCUGACUGUGGCAGGGUCAUUAAGAAUUUCUUUCCAUUUUCCUCAAGUGCUGUUGAUUCUGUUCAGAGCAAUGUCUCCUGUAGCUGAGGCUUGCUUCAUGCUACAUAAUUGAUAAUUGCUUUGAGCACCCAAUCCUGCCUCUGCGCUCAGUGCUGGAAACAGAGUCUUGCAACUCUCCCAGGCUAGUCUUUGACUGGUCAAUGAAAAGGAACAAUAAAACAGUGAAUGAGUGUGCUCUU